UACGGAGGGUGCGAGCGUUGUCCGGAAUCAUUGGGCGUAAAGGGCGCGUAGGCGGCCGGCCAAGUCGGGGGUGAAAGCCUGUGGCUCAACCACAGAAUGGCCCUCGAUACUGGACGGCUCGAGACCGGAAGAGGUUGGUGGAAUUGCGAGUGUAGAGGUGAAAUUCGUAGAUAUUCGCAAGAACACCGGUGGCGAAGGCGGCCAACUGGUCCGGAUCUGACGCUGAGGCGCGAAAGCGUGGGGAGCAAACAGG
rnacentral:rRNA from 1 species